rnacentral:rRNA from 1 species
GUGCCAGCAGCCGCGGUAAGACGAACCGUGCAAACGUUGUUCGGAAUCACUGGGCUUAAAGGGCGCGUAGGCGGGCAGUCAAGUCUUUUGUGAAAUCCUUCGGCUCAACCGGAGCAUUGCAGGAGAUACUGGCUGUCUCGAGGGGGGUAGGGGCAUGUGGAACUUCCGGUGGAGCGGUGAAAUGCGUAGAUAUCGGAAGGAACGCCGGUGGCGAAAGCGACGUGCUGGACCCUUUCUGACGCUGAGGCGCGAAAGCCAGGGGAGCAAACGGGAUUAGAUACCCCAGUAGUCC